rnacentral:lncRNA from 1 species
UGCUGCCUUGGUAGUAGGAAGCAGACAGAUUGCUGGGGUUGGUUUAAAAAAAGGGCAGUAAAUACAAAAGAUAGCCUUGAUAUGGUGACUGAUAGAACAUGGAAAGGACCAGAGUCUGGAGGGAUCUGUGCAGAAUGUAGCCUGAUGAGCAUUUGGUGAACUACCUCUCACCUCCCAUGAUAGACAGCCUGCUGUUGGACUUUCAUUUAAAGGCUUUCCUGGUAAUGAAGAAAAAAUCCACAAUCUGGCUCAUCGAUGUUUUUAAGGUGCAACUGAACUGUCAUUUCUUCCAUGAAUCAUUCUCAAGCUCCCUACCUCCCUGA